rnacentral:misc_RNA from 1 species
GAGCACCACAUAGCAGCUAGUGAAAGUUUGCACAACGCCACUGAUGUGCAUAUUUUUAGAAAAUUUUGCCAGCGAAUGAAAUACAUAAAUUGCAUUUUCCUGGGCUAUAAUAUAAGUGUUUUUAGUAGAUUUCAAGUUAUAGCCACAUAUAAACGUAUUAAUUUGUUAAGUUAACGGAAAAAUCAUCAUUGGUGCUACAAGGUGAGAUCGAAGAUUUUGAAUAUCCAUAUAUCUCGCAUAUCAGCUUAUAUGUACAUACAUAGUUACGUACAUAUAUACGCAAUUUAGGGUAUAUGAAUAUUGGUGUAUGUGUACGAUACGGCCGUUAUAUCAUAUUGGUUGCCAUCUGCGAUUUGGCAAAUGUUUUUGUUAGCGCCACACUGUCGUGAUAUCUCGUUUAAGUAUACCAAACAUGUCUGAUCGUAUGGGGCAUGGACGCGGUCCAUUUCAAACACCAUUGAUCAGCGCAACAUUUAGUAUAAACAAAUUAUGGAUUUGUGCACUUUUGGUGAUCUUUGUCUUUCCACAUACCUCAUAUGAAUUAUUUGAGUUUGGAGGCGUUGCCAAGAGUGGAAGUGUUGGAGCAACUGUGGACGCUAAUAAACCCAUAGGAAAGCGUCCAUUUGAGAAGAAAUUCAAAUUUCACAAAAUUGAACGUGUAUACUUCGAUGAAGCGGAAGGGCAAUACGACGAGGCCAGCGCUGGUGACGACGACGACAAAAACGACGACAUUGUUGACGAAAAUAUGAAAAGAAACGAAGACGACGACACAAGCCAAGCUAUGGAUGCUAGCGAGCAAACAACUGAGUCAGAAGAAUUGCCAUUCAAACGGGCGCGAACAGCUCAUAAGGAGCGGAGAAGUGCCACCUCCUCCUCCACAAAGUCGAAUGGCGAAAAGCGCUCAUCUAGCGAAAAGCGGAGAGACUCUACACAUGGUGAUAAAAGUGAAGAGUCACAAUCUGUUUUCGGCUCAUUAUUUGGUUCUCUCUUUGGUGGUGGGGCAAGCAGCAAUGAGAAACUAACAAGUGAGGAAGACAAAUCUGCUGAAAAAAAAGAGCCGUCAAACAGCAUUAUCGAUUGGCUAAAAUGGUUUAGUGAGAGAAAGGAAAAUGUUGAGAGCCAAGAGACUGCAGAAAAUGAAGAAGCAGAUGCGGAAACGUGGUUUUCCUAUCUGAAUCGUUGGCCAUUCAAUACACUCUUUAACAUUGGCAAACCUGAAAAACCUAUACGCAUGCCUAGAGGUGGUCGCGAGCCCAAGCAAAAAGCUGCUUCCGCAGAAGAUGGAGACGCAGAUGAGGCAACGCCGGUAAUGUCUCAGGAAAACUUCGAAACUGUGUUGCACACACUACCAAGUUUUGUCGUGAAUCCAGCGGAAGUAGACAACACCGAAUGUAGACAGCAAUUGCAAAUUUUUGGCAGGCAGUUGCGUGGCAAUAAAUUGUGGACUUUACAGAUGUUGGAUGCUACAGGCAAAAUCACAUCGGGAGUGUUGCGCGGCAACAUCAAUCAAUUCGGAGACUUUGAUCAGUGCAUGCAAGUGAAGACUGUGGUUAAGGUAACACCAGAAAUUCCGGUGCGCAUUCGAGGUAAAUACUGUCUCGCCCAUAUUGAAAUGCAGACCACAUCCAAAGAGCUUAAGGUACCCUUACAUUACGCACAAGGACGAGGCCUCUGGGGCAGUCAUUUCGGCAACCCCAGUCAUUUUGUUCCACGCUAUAGCAUCGCUAAUUGGGGUGUGUGCAUACCGCACCUUUGCAACGGCGAGGUUGUACAGAAAAUGCUUGAGUCGAACCUGCGACCCUACAAUACAACAGGUUUGGAAUUUCACGUGGAGGUCGACGAUGAUGACUGCUACACGCGAUCCAACGUUAAGUUGAUGAAACUAAUUAAAAAGGAUCCGAAAUUCACCACAACAAUUUCCUGCAUUUGUGGGCUCAUAACAUUGUGCAUGGGUUCACUUCUUUAUAAAUACUGCCGCAAUAUCAAAGACUGGAUUGUUAAGAAAAUGGAAAUUUCCAAAAACGAAUCAAAUGGCGAAACCGAAAGAAGUGAGGAUGACACAGAAGCAGUUACUGAGACCGAAGAUACAGAAGACAAUCGAGACUCUGAAAUUGGCAAGGAAGAAGAAUUGCCCGUUAGCUUGCUUCAGUCACUGAUGAACUUAUUGCAAGACAUCCUCAAUGCUUUCUCACCCCAACGUACUUUGUUUGAACUGCUUGGCAGUGACCACUUCGAAACGCAAUUCCCAAUCUUCAAUGUACUAAAAUUGGGUGCUUCGUUCGCUCUUUAUGUUUGCUUCAAGUACAUAAUGAUUGGUCAUCUGCCCAUCAUCAACCGUGAUAAACUAGUUCGGGCUUUGGACCAACCACAGAGCGUAUUGUUCCGAUCGCCACUGAUCUAUAUGGAUGUGCUCUUAAUGAUAAGCGGUUUCUUUGUGGCUUAUCAAUUGGCCGAAGAGAUCGAGCAAAAAACGCAUAUUCAAUUGCUGAAGCGUAUGGCUUUGAAAAUAUCACGCUAUUUGCCAACUUUGUAUGUGGUGCUGCUCUUCCAAACAUACGUGCUUCCACGGCUUGGCGCCGGUCCGCUUUGGAUGAACUUGGUUGGACAAAACACGCGCUUGUGUGAACAGCAAAUGUGGCGCAACCUUUUCAGUGUGCAGAAUGCAAUCGACUUUGAGGAUACGUGUUCACCCAUGACCAUACAAUUAGCUCUUGAAGUACAACUCUAUAUACUAGGUCCUUUGAUUGUGUGGCUCUAUCACACCGAUGCGGAUGCAGCCUUCUUCAUUUACGGCGCCCUCCACGUAAUGUCCGUGGCAGCACGUUAUUCUCGCACGCAAAACGAAUACUUGUCCGUGACUCUGUUCCAUGGAAUGAACAUAAGCAAGUUCUAUCGCACGGCUAAUAUGCUAUACUCCUCCCCAAUAAGUCGCGGAACGGCCUAUCUACUUGGCCUUGGCACCGGUCUAUUUCACCGUUCCCAAUCGGGAGUUAUAGAAAUCGCCAGUGAGCUUAAGCCUGUAGGGUGGUUGUGCGCUAUUUUGAGUUUGGUUUGGUGCUUCUGGGCCCCAUCGGUAGGCAUGCGCAGUGAUUUUGUUUACACAGCUGGAGAUGCGGCCUCCUAUGCUGCUUGGUGUCCUCUUAUACUUGGCUUAGGGCUGGCGUGGUGUAUCUUCAUGUUCCCAAGGGAUGAAAACUCUGUGCUGCGGUUUAUCACCACAAUGCGACCAGUAUUGUUCCUUUCGCGCAUAACGUUCCCCAUUCAAUUGAUGACAUAUGUCGUAGUGCUCUAUAACACUGCUAGUGUCACCGAGCCACGAAAAUAUCAUCUAACUGAUUUGGUAAACUUCAACGAGAUUGCUGUAAUUAUAGCCAGCGGGGGGGCAGUGGCCUUUUUAAUCGAUGUUCCAGCCCAACACUUACGAAAGAUUGUAAUUAAUCGGUUGUUUAUCGAACGCCAAGAGCGCGAGCAUGAUCACGAAACUGAACCCAGUUCGGGUGCUGAGGCUUCCGAACCAGAAGCUGAUGUCGAAGAUGAGUGCGAAGCCGAUGGCAAGGUAACAGAGAUCAGCGAAGAGCAGUCUAAAGAUGAUACAGCAGACAUUUGGGGUACUGAAGAUGUCACGGAAGAUUUGGCUGUAACGAAUAAUAGCAACGAAGAAAAUACAGUAGCGGAUGAGGAUGAAGAGAUUGAUGAUAAGGAAAUAGAAAUAUCGGAAGAAGACGAAGUAAAGAAGCGACCACUAAAAGACGAUAACGUAGAGAAAGACACAACAAGUUUUACACGAAGGCAACGACGAAUCAGCGAUGAUUAGAAGAAUACCCACAAUAAUGAUGGGAAUACGAUUAUGCUGCUUGUACAAAAAUUGGGAGCGGGAUUUUAGUCAGGAAUGUAUGUUUUAUGGAAGAACUGCAGUAAGGAAGCUGUUGAAUUUCCAUUCUUUCACCUAGUACAACUUAAUGGCGGCGUGACCAGAGGAAUUAUUGUUUACUUUUAAGCGAAUGAACAUGCAUACAAAUCACACAAGGAUAAAAGACAAUUCGAAGCCGGUUUCAAUUUAAUUACUGGAAAUUAAUUAAGAAAAAAAAUACUCGUACAUGGGUUCCCCUGAAUGUUGGAUACAUCGUUCAUUUCAUGAAAACUAUUUCUGCAUCUCUUGUAAUGAUUCCCAACUGAAUUAAAUUGUAUCAGCGCUUAACGACCCGACGACAAAUCAACCAUAGACAACACGAACCGAAACACGAAUCCGACAUCCUUUCAAAAGUGUUUAAUUGUUAUACAUCUAUUUAUUUAUACUAUAUAUAUUUACUUAUAAUUGUGUGCACAUUAGUCACAUAUAUUUAAAUACAAA